GAUGAACGCUGGCGGCGUGCCUAACACAUGCAAGUCGAGCGAUAGCACGCGACACUUGCCUCACUGAUGUUAGAGGCGGACGGGAGAGUACCACGCGGACCCACUCCUUAUAAAUCAGUACUAACUUCGGGAACUCGUAGCUCAUACGGGCUAAUAUUUUGAACCGCAUGGCUCAAAAGUGAACGACGGUCUUGCUGUCACUUAUAGAUGGAUCCGCGCUGCAUUAGCUAGUUGGUCAGGUAACGGCUUACCAAGGCAACGAUGCAUAGCCGACCUGAGAGGGUGAUCGGCCACACUGGAACUGAGACACGGUCCAGACUCCUACGGGAGGCAGCAGUGGGGAAUCUUCGGCAAUGGGCGAAAGCCUGACGGAGCAACGCCGCGUGAGUGAUGAAGGUCUUCGGGUCGUAAAACUCUGUUAUAAGGGAAGAACAUAUGUUUAAGUAACUGUGCACAUCAUGACGGUACCUAAACAGAAAGCCACGGCUAACUACGUG
rnacentral:rRNA from 1 species